ensembl:ncRNA C02C6.4 ncRNA
UCCGUUUCUGUUCUUUUUGCCCGCCCGCCCCGUACAGAGCCAAUGCACCCAGGUAAACGAUGGGUACCCGCCCACUUUAAAGAGAUGGAAACCAUACUCGGUUGGAAAAGGGUGGAGAGAAGAG